AUAGGGCUCGCUUUGACCACAUACAUACUAAAACCGGGAUGAUAUUGAGAAGAUGAGCCUGGGCCUGUGCAAGGGUGACAUGUAAAUUCAUGAAACAUUCCAUACAUUU